rnacentral:tRNA from 1 species
CGCGGGGUGGAGCAGCACGGUAGCUCGUCGGGCUCAUAACCCGAAGGUCAAAGGUUCAAAUCCUGUCCCCGCAACCA